AAUUCGCCCUUAGAGUUUGAUCAUGGCUCAGAUUGAACGCUGGCGGCAUGCCUUACACAUGCAAGUCGAACGGUAACGCGGGGCAACCUGGCGACGAGUGGCGAACGGGUGAGUAAUAUAUCGGAACGUGCCCAGUCGUGGGGGAUAACUGCUCGAAAGAGCAGCUAAUACCGCAUACGACCUGAGGGUGAAAGCGGGGGAUCUUCGGACCUCGCGCGAUUGGAGCGGCCGAUAUCAGAUUAGGUAGUUGGUGGGGUAAAGGCCUACCAAGCCGACGAUCUGUAGCUGGUCUGAGAGGACGACCAGCCACACUGGGACUGAGACACGGCCCAGACUCCUACGGGAGGCAGCAGUGGGGAAUUUUGGACAAUGGGGGCAACCCUGAUCCAGCCAUGCCGCGUGCGGGAAGAAGGCCUUCGGGUUGUAAACCGCUUUUGUCAGGGAAGAAAUCCUUUGGGCUAAUAACUCGGAGGGAUGACGGUACC
rnacentral:rRNA from 1 species